rnacentral:rRNA from 1 species
ACGGGGGUGGCAAGCGUUGUCCGGAAUUACUAGGCGUAAAGGGCAGGUAGGCGGAUCAGUAAGUCGGACGUUUAAUCCUCGGUCUUAAGCUGAGACAUGCGUUUGAUACUGUUGAUCUAGAAUGCGGCGGGGGAAGACGGAAUUCCGGGUAGAGCGGUGUACUGCUCAGAUAUUCGGAGUGACAUGGAAGGCUGCGGCAAUCUAACAUACCGUAAUUGCCGCGUAGUUGCGAAGGUGUGGGGAUGGAAGAG